rnacentral:rRNA from 1 species
CCUGGUUGAUCCUGCCAGUAGUCAUAUGCUUGUUUCAAAGAUUAAGCCAUGCAUGUGUCAGAAUAUGUUUGUAUAAACGAAUCUGCGGACGGCUCAUUAAAACAGUAAUCACAUAUUUGACGUUUUCUUGACGGAUAUCCGUGGGAAACCAAGGCUAAUACGGGUUAAAACCGGUGCUUUUUGGUACCGCGGCAUUUCCUGCUUUACAAACCAAACGCGCUUGCGUGUGCGAGGAAUCGCAGGAACUUUUCGAGUCGAAUUAUCGAUGCGUCAUUUUGGUUUCUGACCUAUCAUGGUAGUUGGUAGGAUAUUGGCCUACCAAUCCGUUGACGGGUAACGGGGAAUUAGGGUCUGAUUCCGGAGAGGGCGCCUGAGAAAUGGCGACCACGUCUAAGGAUGGCAGCAGGCGCGCAAAUUACCCAAUCCUGACUCAGGGAGGUAGUGACAAAAAAUAGCAACUCAAAUAUCAAUAUAUUUGCUGAUUGCGAUGAUCCUCGCCUAAAUGUUGAAGAGAGAACCAAUUGGAGGGCAAGCCUGGUGCCAGCAGCCGCGGUAAUUCCAGCUCCAAUAGCGUAUAUUAAAUUUGUUGCAGUUAAAAAGCUCGUAGUUGAAUUGAUCGUUAGCUGAGUGAUUCUUUCUAAGAACGUGAAGCUGACGCGGGCUUUUCAGAAAGCCUCUCUUACUUUGAGAAAAAUAGAGUGUUUCAGGCGGGCCAGUGUUGAAAUAGUGUACCAUGGAAUGAUGUCGUGGCUACCUCUCCGUUUCUUUGGUUUUGGACGGGGUAGUUCGUAAUUGAUAGGAACAGUCGGGGGUAUUCGUAUCAAUCAGUCAGAGGUGAAAUUCUUAGAUUUUUUUGAGACGAACUAAUGCGAAAGCAUCUACCAAGUAUGUUUUCAUUAAUCGAGAGCGAAAGUUAGGGAAUCGAAGACGAUCAGAUACCGUCGUAGUCUUAACCGUAAACUACCCGACUAGAGAUCGGUGGAUAUCAUUCAUGAUUCCUUCGGCAACUUAUGAGAAAUCAAAGUUAUUGGGUUCUGGGGGGAGUAUGGUCGCAAGGCUGAAACUUAAAGGAAUUGACGGAAGGGCACCACCAGGAGUGGAGCCUGCGGCUUAAUUUGACCCAACACGGGAAAACUCACCAGGUCCAGACGUGGGAAGGAUUGACAGGCUGAAGCUCUUUCUUGAUUCUACGGGUGGUGGUGCAUGGCCGUUCUUAGUUGGUGGAUUGAUUUGUCUGGUUGAUUCCGACAACGAACGAGACCUUCGCCUGCUUAAUGGUGGUGCUUUCUGCGGAUUGCACUAUUUCUUAGCGGGACUUUAUGCGUCACAGCAUAAUGAAGCGAAGGCAAUAACAGGUCUGUGAUGCCCUUAGAUGUUCUGGGCUGCACGCGCGCUACAAUGGCGUUUGCAACAAGAUUGCUAAACCGAAAGGUUAAGCAGAUCUUUGAAGCGGCGUCGUGACCGGGACUGUUGAUUGCAAUUAUACGACACGAACGAGGAAUUCCUUGUAAUCGCGAUUCAUCAAAUCGCGCUGAAUACGUCCCUGCCCUUUGUACACACCGCCCGUCGCUUCUACCGAUUGAACGAUGCGAUAAAUUAUCUGGAUAGAAGGCGUUGCUGUUUAUCAGCGAUGACCCUCUUGAAGUUUUGUGAAUCUUAUCGUUUAGAGGAAGGAAAAGUCGUAACAAGGUU